CAAAAACAUCGCCUCUUGACUUAAAUAUAAGAGGUCCAGCCUGCCCAGUGACAAAAUUCAACGGCCGCGGUAUACUAACCGUGCGAAGGUAGCAUAAUCACUUGUUCUUUAAAUAGGGACUAGUAUCAACGGCAUCACGAGGGCUAUACUGUCUCCUCCCUCCAAUCAGUGAAACUGAUCCCCCCGUGAAGAAGCGGGGAUUUUACUAUAAGACGAGAAGACCCCAUGGAGCUUUAAACCCAAUAUAUACCCCCUCCCCAAGCAUCAACUUAAUCUAGCGGGCCUGUAUACUGGUUUUAGGCUGGGGGGGCCACGGAGUAAAAUUAAACCUCCAUAACAAAUGGGCUAAUACCCUUACCCACGAUUUUAUAAAUCUAAGAAUCAUCAAAAUGAUGUCAAAUGACCCGAUAAUUCGAUCAAUGAACCAAGUUACCCUGGGGAUAACAGCGCAAUCUACUUCAAGAGCUCUUAUCGACAAGUAGGUUUACGACCUCGAUGUUGGAUCAGGGUAUCCAAGUGGUGCAACCGCUGCUAAUGGUUCGUUUGUUCAACGAUUAAAACCCUACGUGAUCUGAGUUCAGACCGG
rnacentral:rRNA from 1 species